GCUGGGCACUGGGGCUGGUGCCUGUGAUCCCAGCUCCCAGGGAGGCUAAGGCUGGUGGAUCGCUUGAGCUCAGGAGUUCCCGGCUGUGCUGAUCGGGUGUCCUCACUAAGUUUGGCAUCAAUAUGGUGAUCCCUGGGAAGCUUGGGGUCCCCAGGUUGCCUAAGGAGAGGUGAACCAGCCCAGGUUGGAAACGAAGCAGGUCAAAACUCCUGUGCCGAUCAGUAGUUGGAUCAUGCCUGUGAAUUAGCACUGCAGUGUAGCCUGGGCAAGACAGUGAGACACAGUCUCUU
ensembl:misc_RNA Metazoa_SRP Metazoan signal recognition particle RNA